ACUUACGGCCGUACCACCCUGAAAACGCCCGAUCUCGGAAGCUAUGCAGGGCCUGGUUAGUACCUGGAUGGGAGGCCGCCUGGGAGUACCAGGUGCUGUAAGCU
rnacentral:rRNA from 1 species